GAUGAACGCUGGCGGCGUGCCUAAUACAUGCAAGUCGAGCGAACAGAUGAGGAGCUUGCUCCUCUGACGUUAGCGGCGGACGGGUGAGUAACACGUGGAUAACCUACCUAUAAGACUGGGAUAACUUCGGGAAACCGGAGCUAAUACCGGAUAAUAUAUUGAACCGCAUGGUUCAAUAGUGAAAGACGGUUUUGCUGUCACUUAUAGAUGGAUCCGCGCCGCAUUAGCUAGUUGGUAAGGUAACGGCUUACCAAGGCAACGGUGCGUAGCCGACCUGAGAGCGGGUAGGGCGCCUGAGGAGCUGACACGCGGUCCUGGCACUGACGGGAGGCAGAGGGAGGUAAUGUUGCGAAAAGGGCGAAAGCCUGACGGAGGAACGCCGGGUGGGUGAUGAAGCGCCUCGGAUCGUAAAACGCUGUUAUUAGGGAAGAACAAAUGUGUAAGUAACUAUGCGCGUCUUGACGUUACCGAAUCAGAAAGCCACGGCUAAUUACGG
rnacentral:rRNA from 1 species